AUGGAGCAGUGUGGAAUAAGGAGCUGCUGCCUGGGGCCAUCACAGCUGCCUGGGGACAGGAAUAGGGCACGUGGGGCUGGCCUGACAGGGCAGGGUGGCACAGAGAGUCCAAGGCCAGUGAAUUCCCCUGGCUGCUCAUCCUGCAGUGCUCUCAGCCCUGGCACACGGUGCCCUGGCUGCCCUUGCCCACAGGCUGGGCUCUGCCUGCUGGGGUUUGGGGCUGUUGCUGAUACCCACAGCCCCUGGCAGCACUCACCUGCAAGCAGGGCUGCUCCAGCCUUGCUCUUUCAUACCCAUGGCUGGGGGUUAGAAGCAGUUGGGCUCUCUCCUGUUGUGGUGCCAGGAGCAGCCCUUGCUGCAUCCAGCCCCCUGCAAGCCAGGAGUAGCAGCCUCCCUCCUCCUGUCUCCAGUCUGGCUCUGAACAGGCCGGUGCCCCACUGCCUGUUUGCCACCUCCUGGCACCGUGCCCUCCUGCCCAGCCACCCAGUGAGGCUCCUGCUCUCAGUGGGGAGCUGUGGGACAGCCUGGGUGCCCUGUGCCCUCUGCCGUGCCCAUGACACCGCUGCAGCUGCUGUGGGGGUCUCACUGGUAGCUCAGGGGGGUCCAGUACUGCCAUUGCCUGUUUGCCUCAGGCUAGGGCCAGGGCUCUGCCCUCACCUUCCUCUGCAGACCCCAGGGCUCUGGCUGGCCUGUGCACAUGCCAAAGCACCCCAGGAGUGCCCAGGUAGGACUCUCUGCCACUCUGGGACAGGGGCUGGCUGUCAGGUGCUGGCAGCAGAAAAGGGACACUUGAUGGCAGCCAGUAUUCCAGCCUCGGGCAGUGUCACCUCCCAGCCCCACCAGCACCAGGGCAGGGCUGCUCCACAAGCUGGCAGGGUGCUGUGGCUCAGGCACUGGCUGUGUGUGUGCCCCUGGGUGCAGGGGAGAGGCAGAGGCUGCAGCCAGAGGGCUGCCUGCCCCAGGGCCAGCCCUGACACAGCUUCCCUGCCACUGCCACCCCACAGAGCCCCUUGCUGCACACAGCUCCCUUGGGAAGGGGGUCCAGCCUGGUUCCCCACACUGCCCAGUCCAAGCCCCUCGGGGUGCAGCCAUGGGAACAGCCCAGCCCAGAGCCCCCUUCUUUCACAGUCCCACAGCACUGAUGUGAGCUCCAGCACUGCAGCCUGCAGGCACUGA
rnacentral:lncRNA from 1 species